rnacentral:rRNA from 1 species
AUUGAACGCUGGCGGCAGGCCUAACACAUGCAAGUCGAGCGGUAUUGGUUUUCGGACCAAGAGACCGGCGCACGGGUGCGUAACGCGUAUGCAAUCUACCUUUUGCAGAGGGAUAGCCCCAGAGAAAUUUGGAUUAAUACCUCAUAGUAUAGUACUUUGGCAUCAAGGAACUAUUAAAGUCACAACGGCAAAGAUGAGCAUGCGUCCAUUAGCUAGUUGGUAAGGUAACGGCUUACCAAGGCUACGAUGGGUAGGGGUCCUGAGAGGGAGAUCCCCCACACUGGUACUGAGACACGGACCAGACUCCUACGGGAGGCAGCAGUGAGGAAUAUUGGACAAUGGGCGCAAGCCUGAUCCAGCCAUGCCGCGUGCAGGAUGACGGUCCUAUGGAUUGUAAACUGCUUUUAUACAGGAAGAAACACUCCGACGUGUCGGAGCUUGACGGUACUGUAAGAAUAAGGAUCGGCUAACUCCGUGCCAGCAGCCGACGG